AUUUGCUGAUUUUAUUUCAUCCAAUUGAGUAUCCUGGUUGGAGCCCUUAAGUAGGCAUCGCUUAGAUAUUACUCACUCAGAGUUUCAUUAAGGACCAAAGAAAGCCAUCCAAACACAUUCUGAAGCAAUAGCCGGAUCUGCUGAGCCCUAAAGCAAGGAAAAUUCUGGCCUUUCAUGCUUAAGAUUCUCUUCUUGGCAACCAUCUUUAAAGACAGAGCAUCUUUAAAUGGUCUGUCAGACAAGCCCUUGAUGCUGUUCAUGUUUAUAUUUGUGAGAUUACUUGUGAGGUGGGAGUGGAAGGAAGAAGGUAAAGAUGAAGGCAAAAAAGGCCUGCCCUUCAUCCCUUUCCUUCCACAAUUGGCCUGGAAUGUGCGCAUCUGGAGCUCUAGCUGCCAUCUUGGGUCACAAGAACAAGGAGCAUAACGUAGAUCUGGGAUGAUUCAUAAACUGUAAAGAAACAGGUCCCUAAUGAAUUUCUGAUGAAUCUGUCCUGGACACCUACCUCAUGACAUCUUUUAGAUGAAAACAAAUAAAACUGUGUGUGUCUAAGCCA